rnacentral:pre_miRNA from 1 species
GAAUGAGCUCCGUGCUUCGUUAUGAUUCCAUAGAGCUAACUUUGAGAAAAGCUAUGGAAUGUAAAGAAGUAUGGAGCGAAUCU